rnacentral:rRNA from 1 species
UGCUGCUUCGCUGACGAGUGGCGGACGGGUGAUAUGCUGGGAAGCUGCUGAUGGAGGGGGAUAACUACUGGAAACGGUAGCUAAUACCGCAUAAUGUCGCAAGACCAAAGAGGGGGACCUUCGGGCCUCUUGCCAUCGGAUGUGCCCAGAUGGGAUUAGCUUGUUGGUGGGGUAACGGCUCACCAAGGCGACGAUCCCUAGCUGGUCUGAGAGGAUGACCAGCCACACUGGAACUGAGACACGGUCCAGACUCCUACGGGAGGCAGCAGUGGGGAAUAUUGCACAAUGGGCGCAAGCCUGAUGCAGCCAUGCCGCGUGUAUGAAGAAGGCCUUCGGGUUGUAAAGUACUUUCAGCGGGGAGGAAGGGAGUAAAGUUAAUACCUUUGCUCAUUGACGUUACCCGCAGAAGAAGCACCGGCUAACUCCGUGCCAGCAGCCGCGGUAAUACGGAGGGUGCAAGCGUUAAUCGGAAUUACUGGGCGUAAAGCGCACGCAGGCGGUUUGUUAAGUCAGAUGUGAAUCCCCGGGCUCAACCUGGGAACUGCAUCUGAUACUGGCAAGCUUGAGUCUCGUAGAGGGGGGUAGAAUUCCAGGUGUAGCGGUGAAAUGCGUAGAGAUCUGGAGGAAUACCGGUGGCGAAGGCGGCCCCUGGACGAAGACUGAC